AACGAACGCUGGCGGCAUGCCUAACACAUGCAAGUCGAACGAGACCUUCGGGUCUAGUGGCGCACGGGUGCGUAACGCGUGGGAACCUGCCCUUAGGUUCGGAAUAACUCCCCGAAAGGGGUGCUAAUACCGGAUAAUGUCUUCGGACCAAAGAUUUAUCGCCUUUGGGUGGGCCCGCGUUGGAUUAGCUAGUUGGUAGGGUAAAAGCCUACCAAGGCGACGAUCCAUAGCUGGUCUGAGAGGAUGAUCAGCCACACUGGGACUGAGACACGGCCCAGACUCCUACGGGAGGCAGCAGUGGGGAAUAUUGGACAAUGGGCGAAAGCCUGAUCCAGCAAUGCCGCGUUAGUGAUGAAGGCCUUAGGGUUGUAAAGCUCUUUUACCCGGGAUGAUAAUGACAGUACCGGGAGAAUAAGCUCCGGCUAACUCCGUG
rnacentral:rRNA from 1 species